CGGGCCGGUUCGAGUCGCGCUUUGUCACCGUCCGGGUGGAGCCGAGCCCGGCGCUGAUGCUGAGGGGCAUGGAGGGGGCACGGCUGGGAGUGUGGGUGGCACACGGAGAGGGUAACUGGGCAUACUGGUUUAUACUGGUUUAUACUGGAAGCACAGGUUAUACUGGUUUAUACUGGGAGCACUGUUUAUACUGGGGGCAUUGGUUAUACUGGGAGCACUCUUUAUACUGGUUUAUACUGGUUAUACUGGUUUAUACUGGGAGCACUGGUUAUACUGGUUAUACUGGUUUAUACUGGUUUAUACUGGGAGCACUGGUUAUACUGGUUAUACUGGUUUAUACUGGUUAUACUGGGAGCACUGGUUAUACUGGUUUUUACUGGUUUAUACUGGGAGCACUGGUCAUACUGGUUUCUAUUGGGAGCACUGGUUAUACUGGUUAUACUGGUUUAUACUGGGAGCACUGGUUUUACUGGGAGCACUGGUUAUACUGGUUUAUACUGGUUAUACUGGUUUAUACUAGGGACACUAGUUAUACUGGUUUAUACUGGUUAUACUGGUUUAUACUGGGAGCACUGGUUAUACUGGAGGCACUGGUUAUACUGGUUUAUACUGGUUAUACUGGUGUAUACUGGGAGCACUGGUUAUACUGGGAGCACUGGUGUAUACUGGUUUAUACUGGUUUAUACUGGGAGCACUAGUUAUACUGGUUUAUACUGGUUAUUCUGGUUUAUACUGGUUUAUACUGGGGGCACUGGUUAUACUGGGACCACUGGUUAUACUGGUUUAUACUGGUUAUACUGGUUUAUACUGGGGACACUAGUUAUACUGGUUUAUACUGGGAGCACAGGUUAUACUGGGAGCACUGGUUAUACUGGUGUAUACUGGUUUAUACUGGUUUAUACUGGGGGCACUGGUUAUACUGUGGGUACUGGUCUCUAACUGGUCUCUAACUGGUCUAACUGGUCUCUAACUGGUCUAACUGGUCUCUAACUGGUCUCUAACUGGUCUCUAACUGGUCUAACUGGUCUCUAACUGGUCUCUAACUGGUCUAACUGGUCUCUAACUGGUCUCUAACUGGUUUCAGGCCGUUUCCAGUUCCGGGACCCCUCGGCGCUGGAGCUCAGUGUCCGGUCCGGCGCUGUCAGUGACCAUUGAGUGACCACUGACCAUAGCCAGUCUCUAACCAGUAUAACCAGUCUCUAACCAGUAUAACCAGUCUCUAACUGGUCUCUAACUGGUCUCUAACUGGUUUCCAGGCCGUUUCCAGUUCCGGGACCCCUCAGCCCUGGAGCUCAGUGUCCGGUCCGGCCUGGCGCCGCUGCGUUACGUCGAUGACCGCGGUGACCCCACCGAGCGCUACCCCCUGAACCCCAACGGCUCCGGCCGCGGCGUGGCCGCGCUGGUGUCCGGCUGCGGCCGCCACCUGGCCGCCAUGCCCCACCCCGAGCGGGCCGUGCGCGCCUGGCAGAGCCCCUGGCACGGCCGGACGGCGGCCGGAGACGGCCGGAGCAAGGCCGGCAACGGGCCCUGGCUGAGAAUGUUCCGGAACGCGCUGGAGUGGUGCCUGAGGUGGCCCGAGGGGGAGAAGUGACCCAUGAGUGACCGCUGAGUGACCAAGUGACCAGCCCCCUGUGACACUGACUGCUGAGUGACCAAUGAGUGACCAAUGAGUGACUGAGUGACUGCUGAGUGACCACU
ensembl:lncRNA